rnacentral:rRNA from 1 species
CAGUUGCGUCACUAUCUGCCGKGGGSGKUGGAGARCUGAGGGGGGCUKCUYCUAGUACKAGRGGACCGGAGUGGACGCAKCACUGGUGUUCGGGUUGUCAUGCCAAUGGCACUGCCCGGUAGCUAAAUGCGGAAGAGAUAAGUGCUGAAAGCAUCUAAGCACGAAACUUGCCCCGAGAUGAGUUCUCCCUGAGACUUAGAGUCUCCUGAAGGAACGUUGAAGACGACGACGUUGAUAGGCCGGGUGUGUAAGCGCAGCGAUGCGUUGAGCUAACCGGUACUAAUGAACCGUGAGGCUUAACCUUACAACGCCGAAGCUGUU